rnacentral:lncRNA from 1 species
AGCGGAAAAAGGCCACAAAAACGGGUGGGCUAUAGCCUUGGGGGGUGGGGCUGGCCAACUUCGUCCGCCGGAGUCGGAAUGGCGCGAGACUUUGCGAGGCGCCUCCGUCUGCCAAAAAUAGGCCGCGGGCACAGCCGCACCGAAAAAUAACCGCCCGAAGGCUGGGGCGCCAAUUUCGUCCAGCGGAAAAAGGCCACAAAAACGGGUGGGCUAUAGCCUUGGGGGGUGGGGUUGGCCAACUUCGUCCGCCGGACUCGGAAUGGCGUGAGACAUUGCUAUGCGCCUCCAUGUACCGAAAAUAGGCCGCGGGCACAGCCGCGCCAAAAAAUAACCGCCCGAAGGCCGGGUCGCCUAGUUCGUCCAGCGGAAAAAGGCCACAAAAACGGGUGGGCUAUAGCCUUGGGGGGUGGGGCUGGCCAACUUCGUCCGCCGGACUCGGAUUGGCGCGAGUCUUUGCGAGGCACCUCCGUGUGCCAAAAAAUAGGCCGCGGGCACAGCCGCGCCCAAAAAUAACUGCUCGAAGGCCGGGGCGCCAAGUUCGUCCAGCGGAAAAAGGCAACAAAAACGGGUGGGCUAUAGUCUUGGGGGGUGGGGCUGGCCUACUUCGUCCGCCGGAUUCGGAAUGCCCCAAAACUUUGCGAGGGGCCUCCGUAUGCCAAAAAUAGGCCGCGGACAAAGCCGCGCCCAAAACUAACCGCCCGAAGGCCGGGGCGCCAAGUUCGUUCAGCGGAAAAAGGCCACAAAAACGGGUGGGCUAUAGCCUUGGGGGGUGGGGCUGGCCAACUUCGUCCGCCGGACUCGAAAUGGCGCGAGACUUUGCGAGGCGCCUCCGUGUGCCAAAAAUAGGCCGCGGGCACAGCCGCGCCCAAAAAUAACCGCCCGAAGGCCGGGGAGCCAAGUAAGCGUUCGCGGAAAAAGGCCACAAAAACGGGUGGGCUAUAGCCUUGGGGGGUGGGGCUGGCCAACUUCGUCCGCCGGACUCGAAAUGGUGCGAGACUUUGCGAGGCGCCUCCGUGUGCCAAAAAUAGGCCGCGGGCACAGCCGUGCCCAAAAAUAACCGCCCGAAGGCCGGGGAGCCAAGUUCGUCCAGCGGAAAAAGCCCACAAAAACGGGUGGGCUAUAGCCUUGGGGGGUGGGGCUGGCCCACUUCAUCCGCCGCACUCGGAAUGGUGCGAGACUUUGCGAGGUGCCACCGUUUGCCAAAAAUAGGCCGCGGACACAGCCGCACCCCAGAAUAACCCCCCGAAGGCCGGGGCGCCAAGUUCGUCCAGCGGAAAAAGGCCACAAAAACGGGUGGGCUAUAGCCUUGGGGGGUGGGGUUGGCCAACUUCGUCCGCCGGACUCGGAAUGGCGCGAGACUUUACAAGGCGCCCCCGUGUGCCAAAAAUAGGCCGCGGACACAGCCGCGCCUGAAAAUAACCGCCCGAAGGCCGGGGAGCCAAGUUCGUCCAGCGGAAAAAGCCCACAAAAACGGGUGGGCUUAACCCUGGGGGGUGGGGCUGGGCAAAUUCCUCCGCCGGAAUCCGAAUGGCGCGAGACUUUCGAGGCACCUCCGUUUGCCAAAAAUAGGUCACGGGCACAGCCGCGGCCAAAAAUAACCGCCCGAAGGCCGGGGCGCCAAGUUCGUCCAGCGGAAAAAGGCCACAAAAACGGGUGGGCUAUAGCCUUGGGGGGUGGGGCUGGCCAACUUCGUCCGCCGGACUCGGAAUGGCGCGAGAGUUUGCGAGGCUCCUCCGUGUGCCAAAAAUACGCCGCAGGCACAGCCGCGCCCAAAAAUCACUGCCCGAAGGCCGGGGCGCCAAGUUCGUCCAGCGGAAAAAGCCCACAAAAACGGGUGGGCUAAAGCCUUGGGGGGUGGGGCUGGCCCACUUCGUCCGCCGCACUCGGAAUGGCGCGAGACUUUGCGAGGUGCCUCCGUUUACCAAAAAAAGGCCGCGGGCACAGCCGCCCCCAAAAAUAAUCACCCGAAGGCCGGGGCGCCAAGUUCGUCCAGCGGAAAAAGCCCACAAAAACGGGUGGGCUAUAGCCUUGGGGGGUGGGGCUGGCCAACUUCGUCCGCCGGACUCGGAAUGGCGCGAGACUUUGCGCGGCGCCUCCGUGUGGCAAAAAUAGGCCACGGGUACAACCGCGGCCAAAAAUAACCGCCCGAAGGCUAGGUCGCCAAGUUCGUCCAGCGGAAAAAGGCCACAAAAACGGGUGGGCUAUAGCCUUGGGGGGUGGGGCUGGGCAACUUCGUCCGCCGGACUCGGAAUUGCGCGAGACUUUGCGAGGCACCUCCGUGCACCAAAAAUAGGCCGCGGGGACAGCCGCGCCCAAAAAUAACCGCCCGAAGGCCGGGGCGCCAAGUUCGUCCAGCGGAAAAAGGCCACAAAAACGGGUGGGCUAUAGCCUUGGGGGGUGGGGCUGGCCAACUUCGUCCGCCGGACUCGAAAUGGCGCGAGACUUUACGAGGCGCCUCCGUGCACCAAAAAUAGGCCGCGGGCACAGCCGCGCCCAAAAAUAACCGCCCGAAGGCCGGGGAGCCAAGUUCGUCCAGCGGAAAAAGCCCACAAAAACGGGUGGGCUAUAGCCUUGGGGGGUGGGGCUGGCCAACUUUGUCCGCCGGACUCGGAAUGGCGCGAGAGUUUACGAAGCUCUUCCGUGUGCCAAAAAUACGCCGCGGGCACAGCCGCAUCCAGAAAUCACCGCCCGAAGGCCGGGGCGCCAAGUUCGUCCAGCGGAAAAAGCCCACAAAAACGGGUGGGCUAUAGCCUUGGGGGGUGGGGCUGGCCGACUUCGUCCGCCGCACUCUGAAUGGCGCGAGACUUUGCGAGGUGCCUCCGUUUGCCAAAAAUAGGCCGCGGACACAGCCGCGCCCGAAAAUAACUGCCCGUAGGCCGGGGCGCCAAGUUCGUCCAGCGGAAAAAGGCCACAAAAAUGGGUGGGCUAUAGCCUUGGGGGUGGGGCUGGCCAACUUCGUCCGCCGGACUCGGAAUGGCGCGAGACUUUGCGAGGCGCCUCCGUGUGCGAAAAAUAGGCCAUGGGUACAACCGCGGUUAAAAAUACCCGCCCGAAGGCUGGGUCGCCAAGUUCGUCCAGCGGAAAAAGGCCACAAAAACGGGUGGCCUAUAGCCUUGGGGGGUGGGGCUGGCCAACUUCGUCCGCCGCACUCGGAAUGGCGCGAGACUUUACGAGGCACCUCCGUGCACCAAAAAUAGGCCGCGGGCACAGUCGCGCCCAAAAAUAACCACCCGAAGGCCGGGGCGCCAAGUUCGUCCAGCGGAAAAAGGCCACAAAAACGUGUGGGCUGUAGCCUUGGGGGGUGGGGCUGGCCAACUUCGUCCGCCGGACUCGGAAUGCCGUGAGACUUUACGAGGGGUCUCCGUGUGCCAAAAAUAGCCCGCGGGCAAAGCCGUACCCAAAAAUAACCGUCCGAAGGCCGGGGCGCCAAGUUCGUCCAGCGGAAAAAGGCCACAAAAACGGGUGGGCUAUAGCCUUGGGGGGUGGGGCUGGCCGACUUCGUCCGCCGGACUCGGAAUGCCGCGAGACUUUGUGAGAGGCCUCCGUGUGCUAAAAAUAGGCCGUGGGCAAAGACGCGUCCAAAAAUAACCGCCCAAAGGCCGGGGCGCCAAGUUCGUCCUGCGGAAAAAGGCCACAAAAAUGGGUGGGCUAUAGCCUUGGGGGGUGGGGCUGGCCAACUUCGUCCGCCGGACUCGGAAUGCCGCGAGACUUUGCGAGGGGCCUCCGUGUGCCAAAAACAGGCCGCGGGCAAAGCUACACCCAAAAAUAACCGCCCAAAGGCCGGGGCGCCAAGUUCGUCCAGCGGAAAAAGGCCACAAAAAUGGGUGGGGUAUAGCCUUGGGGGGUGGGACUGGCCAACUUCGUCCGCCGGAUUCGGAAUGCCGCGAGACUUUGCGAGGGGCCUUCGUGUGCCAAAAAUAGGCCGCGGGCAAAGCCGCGCCCAAAAAUAACCGUCCGAAGGCCGGGGCGCCAAGUUCGUCCAGCGGAAAAAGGCCACAAAAACGGGUGGGCUAUAGCCUUGGGGGGUGGGGCUGGCCAACUUCGUCCGCUGGACUUGGAAUGGCUCGAGACUUUGUGAGGGGCCUCCGUGUGCCAAAAAUAGGCUGCGGCCAAAGCUGCGCCCAAAAAUAACUGCCCGAAGGCCGGGGCGCCCGGUUCGUCCAGCGGAAAAAGGCCACAAAAACGGGUGGGCUAUAGCCUUGGGGGGUGGGGCUGCCCAACUUCGUCCGCGGGACUGGGAAUGCCGCGAGAUUAUGCGAGGGGCCUCCGUGUGCCAAAAUAGGCCGCGGGCAAAGCCGCGCUCAAAAAUAACUGCCCGAAGGCCGGGGCGCCAAGUUCGUCCAGCGGAAAAAGGCCACAAAAACGGUUGGGCUAUAGCCUUGGGGGGUGGGGCUGGCCGACUUCGUCCGCCGGACUCGGAAUGCCGCGAGACUUUGUGAGAGGCCUCCGUGUGCUAAAAAUAGGCCGUGGGCAAAGACGCGUCCAAAAAUAACCGCCCAAAGGCCGGGGCGCCAAGUUCGUCCUGCGGAAAAAGACCACAAAAACGGGUGGGCUAUAGCCUUGGGGGGUGGGGCUGGCCAACUUCGUCCGCCGGGCUCGGAAUGCCGCGAGAGUUUGCGAGGGGACUCCGUGUGCCAAAAAUAGGCCGCGGGCAAAGCCGCGCCCAAAAAUAGCCGCCCGAAGGCUGGCGCGCCAAGUUCCACCAGCGGAAAAA